GCACGUGCGAGGUGGUUCCUCCUCCUUUCCAUAACCUAUGUCCUCCGUAGAAUUUGACCCAACCCACAACCUCCGUGUUCUUCCGAUCAACGAAGCAAAACCCUAACCCUAACCUUUAUCAUCAACUUCUCCGAUCAAUCGAUCAUGACCACCGACGACAGCCACAAUUCCCUUCGCAAGCACCGCCGCUCCUCCUCUCCGGAGGACGCUGACAGAUCCUCGAAGCGCCACCACCGCCUCAGGAGCACAAAGCGCAAUGUAGAAAGCGAAUGCGAUUGCGAAACUGCUGCGGAGGCUCCUUCUCCGACUCUGUCCCGUAAUUCUGGUCCGAGUUGUCACGUGCCCGAUGACGACGAUGUGGAAGAGGGAGAGAUUCUCGAAGAAGAUGAUGGUGUUACUCAGAAACAGCUUGGCGAAAGCGACGUAGCCGUAGAUCGGGAUGUUCGAUCUGGUAAAGCAAAUCUGGGACUUUUUGUCCAAGAGACUUUGUUGCAUGCUGAUGAUUUAAAAACUAGAAGGGAGUGCAUUAGCGAUUAUAAAUUUACUAGUCCUGAUGGAGAAGACGGGACAUACUGUCAUAGUAACAUUAACCAUGAAAUACAUGAAGAUGAAGGUUUUCCUAAGUAUUCAAGUGGUGAUCGUCGAGAUGGAAAGGAUGCUAUAGCUAGUACAGAUGGUAUGGACAUUGGGCUUUUGGAUCAUAAAUCUUCUAAAGGAGAUAAGAGGCAUAAUGGAGAACAUGGAUGUUUUAAUGGAAACAAGAAACUAAAAGGUAACUGUGAUGAUGAAGAUGUGGACGUUGAUAAAGGGAAAAUAGAUUACUGUAGAAACUCUUUCUCUGAGAGUGGAGGAGAGAGAUAUAGAAUGGCAAGAUGUUCACCUUCUCGUGAUAGAUAUAGAAGUCAAUCAAGAUCAUAUGGUCAUAUUAGUAACAGGUCUCAUUCUUGUAGUAUAGUAAAAGAAUAUGCUCAUUCCAAGAGAAGGCACUCUGGUGAACAAGGGGACCUUUCAUAUGUGAGUAUACUAAAAACUGACUAUGACCUUGAUGAUGAAAGAGUGAUUGCAAACAUAUGGGAGUGUGGUCAUGUCAGUAGAGAUUUGGUAGUGGAUGAAGGAAGGGAACAUAGAGCAAGUUACCACAUGCGGGAGGGCUUGGAUAAGGAUAGGAGUAGGGGCCAAGAUGUUGAUAGGGACAUUAAGAUGGAAAGAAAGCAAGAGAGGAGCAGGAAUAGGGAGGUCAAUUGGGUGUGUAGAAAGGAAAAGGAACAUGAAAGGAGCCAUGAAAGGCAUAGAAGGGAUGUAGAAAAAGAUAGGAGCAGGGAAAGGGAAUGUUAUAGGGAUAGGAGAAGAGAAAAGGAAAGAGACAGGAGCAGGGAGAUGGUGUUUGAGAGGGAUAGGAGAAGGGAUAAGGAAACAUAUCGAAGCAGCAACAGAACAAGGGGUGGUGAGGGAGAUACAGACUGGGAAAGUGAACAGGAUGAUAAGAAUCAGGAAAGGAAUAAAAUCAAGGACAGGGAGAUGGAGAGGGGAGAUGAUAGAAAUAGGUACAAGGAUAGAGGCACUCUGGAUGAUAAGUAUCCCUGUCAAGAGGAUGGUUAUGAUAGUCAUGAUAGGUAUAAAAGGCAUUCAAAACAGAAAGAAACUGAAUGCCAGCAAGAAAGAAAAAUAAAUUCUGGGCCUAUAAAGGUUUAUAACUCUUUGGGAAGUACCUCAGUAGAUGAUGAAAGCAAACUAGAGAGAGUGGAGGAUGAACAAGAUGACUUGGAUGAGAAGAUUACAUUGCAAUUACCUGAUCAAGAAGAGGAAGAUCUCAAUAGGGUUAAAGAGGAGAGUAGAAGGAGAAGGGAAGCAAUCUUAGAGAAGUACAAGAAGAAACAGCAACAAGUUGAACAAACUACAGAAAAUGAAGGAAAAGACAAACAAGCUGUGGAGAUUCCUUCUGCUAUUUGUGAAGCUCUUGAUGUUACAAGCAAUGGUGUUGGUAAUGCAGAAACAUUUUUCUCUGUCAGGAAAUCUCCUCUGGAAAAUGAGAGUGUUGCUUUUGAUAAGAUUUCUGGUGCUAGAGGCCUUGGAGAGGGUAGUCCUAAGAGUGAGAGAUCAGGUGACAAGUUUUGUGAUGAUAUAUUUGGCGAUACACCAACUGGAGUUCAGAAAUCAGCCAAAGGAGAUGGUUUACAAAUUGAGAGGGGUGGCCUACAUGACAAUUGGGAUGAUGCAGAAGGUUAUUACAGUUACCGUUUUGGUGAAAUACUUGAUGGCCAAUAUGAAGUCACCGCUGCUCAUGGGAGGGGUGUCUUUUCAACAGUGGUCCGAGCAAGGAAUCUUAAAAAUGGCAAUGGUGAGCCUAAAGAAGUUGCUGUAAAAAUUAUUCGUAAUAAUGAUACAAUGUACAAGGCUGGUAUGGAUGAGUUAGUCAUAUUAAAGAAAUUAGUAGGUGCUGAUCCUGAUGAUAAGCGUCAUUGUGUUCGUUUCCUUUCAAGUUUUAAACACAGGAAUCACCUUUGUUUAGUCUUUGAAUCUCUCCAUAUGAAUCUACGUGAGGUUUUAAAGAAGUUUGGUCGCAACAUUGGGCUUAGGCUAACUGCAGUGAGAGUGUAUGCAAAACAACUUUUUAUUGCACUAAAGCAUCUCCGGAACUGUGGUGUUCUCCAUUGUGAUAUAAAGCCUGAUAAUAUGUUGGUGAAUGAUGCCAAAAAUGUGUUGAAACUUUGUGACUUGGGUAAUGCCAUGUUUGCUGGUAAAAAUGAAGUUACACCCUAUCUUGUGAGUCGAUUUUAUCGUGCCCCUGAAAUAAUACUUGGCUUGCCCUAUGAUCAUCCAUUGGAUAUAUGGUCUGUGGCCUGUUGUUUGUAUGAACUCUAUACAGGGAAAGUUCUUUUUCCAGGUUCUACAAACAAUGAUAUGCUUCGACUUCACAUGGAAUUGAAGGGUCCUUUUCCAAAAAAGAUGCUUCGUAAGGGAGCAUUUAUUGUACAGCAUUUUGAUCAGGACCUGAAUUUUCUUGCUACAGAGGAGGAUCCUGUGACAAAAAAGGCCAUAAAGCGGAUGAUUGUAAACAUAAAGCCAAAAGAUAUUGGAGCAAUCAUCGCUGGCUCUCUGGGAGAGGAUCCAAAGAUGUUAGCCAAUUUUAAGGAUCUUCUGGAAAAAGUUUUCAUUUUGGAUCCAGACAAGAGGUUGACAGUCUCACAGGCAUUAAAUCACCCCUUCAUCACUGGCAAGUGAACAAUGUUGCUGAUUUUGACUCCCAAAAUGAUAUACACUGAUAUCUGUACAUAAUGUUUUAAUUCAUAUUGAGAUUCUAAUUAUUUGGCAUUAUUUAUCUUCUGUGACGGCCCAAGAGAUCAGCACAGUUGUUGGCCUGUUGAAGUGAAAAAGGGUGAUGUCUGGUGAGAGUGAACACUUGACUGGCAGUUCUUUCAGUGGAAAGUACUCUUUCUAUUGUAAGAUAACACGCCAAAGGAGACCACCCACUGGUCUGAGGCUUUCCUCCCGUGAAUAGAUGCUUAAAAGGCACCCAGGAGAAGGUACCUUGGCUUGUUUGUUGGGAGAUUAAUUUAACUGCAAUAGAGUGAAAUGUGAUUUCCUUUCCAAAUUUUAUUUCCAAUAGGAUCAUUAGGUUUGAUUUGGGGGAAUAAUUUAAGUUUGAAUGGUCUUUUUUAAGUCCUGAGGAAAUUCAAUGAUUGGAAUUGCUCCUUAAGCACAUGCAAGCAUGCAAUUUUGUGCUUUAAGCUAGGUAGCUCGGU